rnacentral:rRNA from 1 species
CUAGUUGGUAGGGUAACGGCUUACCAAGGCAACGAUCGAUAGCUGGUGUGAGAGCACGACCAGCCACACGGGCACUGAGAUACGGGCCCGACUCCUACGGGAGGCAGCAGUAAGGAAUAUUGGUCAAUGGACGAAAGUCUGAACCAGCCAUGCCGCGUGAGGGAUGAAGGUCCUCUGGAUUGUAAACCUCUUUUAUCUAUGAAGAAAUGUCCUGUUUCUACGGGAUUUGACGGUAAUAGAUGAAUAAGCACCGGCUAACUCCGUGCCAGCAGCCGCGGUAAUACGGAGGGUGCAAGCGUUAUCCGGAUUUACUGGGUUUAAAGGGUGCGUAGGUGGGUUGGUAAGUCAGUGGUGAAAUACUUUCGCUUAACGAAGGAACUGCCAUUGAUACUAUCAAUCUUGAAUGUAGUGGAGGUGGGCGGAAUGCGUCAUGUAGCGGUGAAAUGCUUAGAUAUGACGCAGAACACCAAUUGCGAAGGCAGCUUGCUACACUACUAUUGACACUGAGGCACGAAAGCGUGGGGAUCAAACAGGAUUAGAUACCCUGGUAGUCCACGCCCUAAACGAUGAUUACUCGAUCUCAGCGAUACACUGUUGGGGUCUAUGUGAAAGCAUUAAGUAAUCCACCUGGGGAGUACGAUCGCAAGAUUGAAACUCAAAGGAAUUGACG